GGGAGGAAGACUUGGUCUCUUCGCUGUUGCCGGAAGCAAAAAAAAAAACGGGACCUUUAAACAAGUCGGCCUUAGGCCCAGAUAGAAAAAAACACACACGCUCUUUGAAACGUGGGUCCACUCUGCAAGUGCUAGAGGACAGGAGGACAGGAGGAGGACAGGAGGACAGGAGGACAGCAGCAGCUCCGAGCCCUGCGUCUACGGCUGCUCGGCCUCAGACGCGUCCAUGUCCAGCGGGGAGACGUCUGCGUCAAAAGUCCCGAGGUGCGUCCUUCAGCGGCUCAACUUCUCCACUUUGACUGCUACGGAAAAAAAAAAAAAAAACUCCCCGAUAUAAUAUUUACAACUCGCUGAAAUCAGUGGACGGGAGGGCGCGAUGCAGAAUGCUGCUUGGAGCCCACACACGCCUGACAGCCUGUUUGGAGAAUGACCAGACGAUUGGAAAAAAAAAAAAACUGCCUCUAAACCCUCGAAUAAUCCCACUACACGACUUUUCCACGUCUUAACCCCCUUCAUUCAAUUUACAAGUAGAACAGUUGAGUGAGACCACCAUGUGUCCGAAGAUUGGUGCAGGCCAAACUGAUUCUUUGGAAACCUGCUCCUGAAACAUGUCAAUGCAAUCGAGAAAAACGUGCUUGCAAAACGAAAAAAAUAAUCUACACCUGGAUUUUACAACAUUCUGCUUACAACCGAGAAAAAAUGUUUAUUAGUACAACUAGACAUUCUUUAUGCUUUGUCACACAAACAGAUUGUGUAUUCGAAAAUAGACUCAGCACCAACCAAAGCAGUGAAAAAGCUUUUUCAGGUAAAUAAUAUUUUUUUGUUGUAAAAUGGCCCUGAAACAGAAUAUUUGUAAAAUCUAAAUACUGCAGAAAAAAAUUUGAAAUACAUUUUCUCAGCAACACACCUUUGUAAUUCAACAUUGCUGGAAAAAAGAAAGACAAACAUGUUGUCAAGUCAUUUAAAAAGUAAUAAUGCAUGGAGUUUACUUAAAGAUUGCAUUUUUUUUAGGGAAAAAAAGGGUCUAUAUAGCAAAAUACACUAAACUAAACUAAAAUUACACUGUUGAAGAGCAUUUACAUAUUUUAGUAUACAACAAAAAGCAACAAAUUAUACAAAUAUAGAAUAAAACAGCAACAGUGGUCUUUAUUUUCAAAGUAUAUGGAAUAAAUGUUGUUAAUAAAAGUUGUUUAACUUAA